rnacentral:rRNA from 1 species
UACAGAGGGGGCAAGCGUUGUUCGGAAUUACUGGGCGUAAAGGGCGCGUAGGCGGCCGCCUAAGUCAGACGUGAAAUCCCUCGGCUCAACCGGGGAACUGCGUCUGAUACUGGGUGGCUUGAAUUCGGGAGAGGGAUGCGGGAAUUCCAGGUGUAGCGGUGAAAUGCGUAGAUAUCUGGAGGAACACCGGUGGCGAAGGCGGCAUCCUGGACCGAGAUUGACGCGUGACGGCGCGAAAGCCAGGGGAGCAAACGGG